rnacentral:rRNA from 1 species
UACCUGGUUGAUCCUGCCAGUAGUCAUAUGCUUGUCUCAAUGAUUAAGC